CGCAAAUCCUUUUAGGCCGAGACUUGGAUAGAUAACCAGUCGGCCUUGACGCAGUGCUGUUUAUCCAAAUUGAAGAUGUUCACCGGUUGCCUUCACAGUGCUGUUUAUCCAAACUGAAGAUGUGUCGGCGGAAAAGAAACUAAAAAAUCUCAAGGUUGUUGAGAUGUUUCGCGUAGAGCAAGAAUUUGCGCAGGGCAGUUUGUGUGUUGAGUUGGAGAGGGAUUUCUCCGUCGCAAAGCAUCUUGAAUUUAUAGCAUUAUGUCUUCUGCUUGGCACGGCUAGAUAAUAAUCUUGUAGAGUCCAAUUGCAACUCUAACUGGUGGAAUGAAAAACUGACAUAGGCUAAAGCCUAUCUUCCAGAUGGCUAUCCGUAAUUUUCAAUAAAUAAAUAAAAACCUAUCCAAGAUUAUCACAUCAUGACCAAAGACCUAGCCUACCUUAGCCUCAUAUCUCAUCACCUGUAAUGGAAUUAUCACAUCAUGACCAUAGGCCUAGCCUACCUAGGCUUCUUAUCUCAUCACCCCCAUCCAUGCAUGCAACUUGAUCCCCUUUCUUUAAUAUUAGCUUGCAGCAUAUCCAAUCCACACGUCCACACACACCCCAACUCAAUUUGAAUUGUACCGCUUGCUUAGGGAUAUAAUUCACAUCCUAUUUAUCCUGCUUAAGAAUAUGUCAAGAUAAUUCAUAUUAAAAGAAUAAUUAUUAUGAUAAAAACCAUAAUAUUAUUUUUUAACAAAAUUAUAUUCACUUUUCCAUCCGACGAUUGUGAGCUAUGCUCACUUAACGGCCUUGAUUGCACAAGCCGAUGAUGUAAAUUUGGGUCCAAACAUAAAUAAAAAAAAAUAGGGAGAAUUAUUUGAGAAGUAACUUGGAAGGAAAAGGGAUAUUUAUUUGGGAUGACUAGGCACUCUCACAAUUAGGAUUCUUAUUUCUAAGGAAGACUUAAGCAAGCUUUUAAUGUCACAAUAGUGUUUUGAGCUGAUAACGCAACGUCAUGUAUUUUAACGGCAUUUUCAUGUCAACAGUACAUGAUUGGUUCGUGAAGCUACGACUAUGUCUUCAAAAUUACACGUAUUUUUCUCUUCUAGUUUGCGAUUUAUUAUUUGCUUAAGCUCUAUGUGUUUAAGAACUUAGUAAAAGUGGGUUGCUUGUUAAAAAAGAAAAUUGAAGUUAAUUACUCAAAGUGACAACAAAUAAAUGAGCAAAUAGAUCAAUAUAUACAUAAGAUGAAUGAGAAUUUGUUAACUUUGUUUUGAUAACGGUAGCGUUGCUUCUUUAAUAUGUAACUGAAAGUCAAUCUUAGAAAAAAAAUUGUUGACGGAAGUGAAAUGAACAAGAUUAAAGAAGAAUAAUCGUAAUUAUGUUAACUUUCCUUAAACCUGUCCAAAUGCAAUUCAAUCAAAAGUUGAAAACCCUAAUAAUCCAUGAGCUUUAACCUUUCUAUUGCCCCCGUCUUUUUUACUGUUGUGUCACGUCUAAUAUUCAUCACUGGGCCAACAAGCCCUAUCCAAUCACGUGGACGUGCCUGAUUCUCAUGCACAUGCAUACAACUCCCAUUGGAGGAGAUCUUAUUAUAUACAAAUUUUGUGACAAAUAUGCUUACUUUCUCUAAACAAUUGUGUUUAAUUAAUUAUCCGAAUCUUUAAGUAAAUCUUGAGGUCUUCCUUUCUUAACGAUGCUUUGUCGGUGCUUACCACUUCUUCCUCGUAUUAAUCAUGUGAAAUUUGAAACAAAAGGGUAUAAAAUUCUAGCAUAUUAUAAUUAAUUUUCUUUGGUUCCACGACAAAACCAAAUAUCAUACUCCACUCAUAUCUCCUUGUGACCAAGGAUGGAUCCACAUAGGGACCUGGGAGGUCCCAGGACCCGUCGACGAUCCUAAAUCACUGCUAGAAAUUUUCCGGGGACCCCUCGUACUCGAGCAUGAGGUAUGUGUAGGUUGUAGGUUGUAGAUUGCAGGUUGCAGUGGUUGUCUUCUUCUCGGAGAAGAUGAUCGUGCACGGAGAAGAAAGAAAAUAGGGAUCCUUCCAGCCUCUCUCCUCCUUGCUUCUGCUAUGGUCUCAUCCAUCGGUGCCACCCACUUCUCCUCCAACCUUUCUCUGUCGUCUGGCGGGGCAGUACAUAAACCCAAAUUUCCCCAAAUUAUUUCAACCACCUUUGUAAUUUUUCUUAUGGGUGAAAUUUCCUACAUAAGGUUAGUAAGAUGGAUAUGAUCUGUCAUGGGUUGGUGAAAUUUGGGGGUGGAGCUGCCAUGGCUUCGGGAGAAUGGGGAGGGAGGCGGUUGGUGGAGGUAUGGUAGCUAUGUUUUUAGUGAGAGAGAAAGUGGAUGUUAGGAAACUAGUAAAAGAGAAAAAUGGUGUGUUUGGUUAGAAAGAUAGUGGGAGUUUGGGGAGAGUUUUAUUAAUUUGACUGGUGUUUUAAAUUUAGUGGUCCAUAUUAGAUAAUCAAUAACUUAGGUACUUCCUAGUAACUUAUGAAACCUCGUAAUAGACGCUUGAAUUAUGAUUUUAUAAUUUGUAAUAUUGUUUUGCAUAUGAUUUUUGAAUGAAAUGCAUUAUAUAUAAAUUUUCAAUGUUGUUUUUGUCUAUAAAUUUUUUGACCUUUAUUAUUGGGACCCCCCGAGUUUAAAAUUCUAAAUCCGCCAUUGUUUGUGACAUAGAGAUUUUUCAGUGUACUCGAGAACAUACAGUUCGGCAUACUAAGCGCAAUGAUAUAAUUAGUUAGAAACUUAAUUUUUCCUUGCGACAAACCUACUCACUGUCAGAAAAAUAAAAAAUAAAAGUAAUAGGAAGAAAAAAGUAGUAGUGAGAAAAAUAGUGAAUUAAAAGAGAAUGUUAUUUAAGUAUUCUUGUUACAUUUUUUCAUCUCGAAUAUAAGAGAAAACGCUAAACUCAAUGUCUGUUUAAGCUCAUGCAUCAUGAGUCAUACGAAUAAUUGAAUAAACUCAAAUUAUAUGUUGCUUUCUACUAGUUCUAGUCACGAUAAAAAUGAAUGCAUUAAGGGGGUCGUUGUCGCACAUCUUCAUCAAGUAUUGAUCAUGCUUAAUGAAUUAAUCACCACUAUUCAUUACAUCAUUUACAUGUCAAUUUCUCGCAUAUGAAAUAGCUCAAUAUAUACUAGCUAAUUAGUAUCUAAAUAUAUAAUGUUUAUGUAUCUUUCUUACUUCUUUUUGUCUUUUUAUAUAUUGCGUUUUGUUUUUGCGAAUCAUUUUAUUGAUUAAGUAAAACUAAAUGGGAGAUUAUUUGACACUCUAAAAUUAUCAUUUCCAAUCAGUCGGUGCUAAUUUUUUGUUUUUGCUUAUAAGGGAGGGUGCUUAAUAAACUUCUUUGAGUGCUAAUAGUUCCUCACUAAUUAAAUCAAGGAAAAAUUAGUAUCCAGUCUUAGUUACUAAUGUACUUUGAUUGAAACCUUAUUAGUUUUCAUAUUUUGAUCAAGGUCUCUAGCAUUAAUGCAAUAAUGAAUUUACAUGUCAAUUACAUAAUUUUUAAAAUAAAAAUUAAUAAUUGAUUUAGGAUUUUAAUACUCACACCUUCAUUAAACUCCUAAAUAAUUUUCAAUUCAAAACAUUUCCAAAAAAAAAAAAAUAGAAUAAGUUUGUACCCCUUAAUUUUUUUAUAAAAAGGUUUCGAAUUUUUUUAAUCUUGUAUGUACCCAUUCAUGUAGUUUUUCAAAAUUUUAAUCUUAAAAUGUACCUAUUCUUAAAUAUAAUUAAUCACCACUAUUCAUUACAUCAUUUACAUGUCAAUUUCUCGCAUAUGAUAAUAGCUCAAUAUAUACUAACUAAUUAGUAUCUAAAUAUAUAAUGUUUAUGCAUCUUUCUUACUUCUUUUUGUCUUUUUAUAUAUUGCCUUUUGUUUUGGCGAAUCAUUUUAUUGAUUAAGUAAAACUAAAUGGGAGAUUAUUUGACACUCUAAAAUUAUCAUUUCCAAUCACUCGGUGCUAAUUUUUUGUUUUUGCUUAUAAGGGAGGGUGCUUAAUGAACUUCUUUGCGUGCUAAUAGUUCCUCACUAAUUAAAUCAAGGAAAAAUUAGUAUACAGUCCUUAGUUACUAAUGUACUUUGAUUGAAACCUUAUUAGUUUUUAGAUUUUGAUCUAGGUCCCUAGUAUUAAUGUAAUAAUGAAUUUACAUGUCAGUUACAUAAUUUUUAAAAUAAAAAUUAAUAAUUGAUUUAGGAUUUUAAUACUCACACCUUCAUUAAACUCCUAAAUAAUUUUCAAUUCAAAACAUUUCCAAAAUAAAAAAAAAAUUAGAAUAAGUUUGUACCCCUUAAUUUUUUAUAAAAAGGUUUCCAAUUUUUUUAAUCUUGUAUG
rnacentral:lncRNA from 1 species